CCUAAGCAGCGUUUGUGCAAUGCGAAUACCAGACUGGCCUGUAGCGCCAGCAACAAAGACUGUGGAAGGAUCCUUGCGCCUUGGAUUUCCAAAUGAAAAGCCUGGCGAAGAAUUGUUGGUUGGAAGUGGGAUCAAGGAAGUGACAUCAGGUAUCUUUCCAAAGUCCAAACGAAAGGGGUUGGAAUUGGAAGAGGUAUCUUUAUCUUCAGGAGAAGAAUCAUCUUUGGGUUUGCCUAGCCCAAAUGAUGGGAAUGAUCCGGACUUCUUGGCAAAGACUCUGAGCCUUGGAUUCCGAAGGGUCAACCUUGAAUGGGGCGUUGUGGCUAAGAGGGAUGAAUUGGAC
rnacentral:lncRNA from 1 species